CAUUGGUUGCUAAAUUUUCCCACUUCGAAUUUUCCGACUCCCACCAUUAAUUAUUGUAAAGCCACGUCUCACGCCAAAAUGUAUUAAAACUGAUAUUUUAGUGCACAGAAGCACAUCAGUAAAAAUUACUAAACUUAAACAUUGUCCUGUCUUUUUGAUAAAUCGUCAAAAACAAUGAAAAUUUUGAAAAUGACUAAACUGUUGAUAUUUGCACUUUUGAUGAUCGCAUUGGUAGCAGUUGUUACUGCUGAAGGUUGUGAUGGACAAAAGUGUAACAUGAACAAAGAAAAGUAUUGCUGCAAAAAUUAUCGUUGUACAAAAAGAAAGGCCCCAGGUACCUGCGUUCCUUGGUAGACUCCAGGAAAACAAAUGGGAAGUUUAUCUUGUAAUUACAAGUAAUAGGCAAAUGUACUACUUCCUUAAUAAAUAAACUGACAUUUGCACUGCAAAAAAAA